rnacentral:rRNA from 1 species
GAUUCUGGCUCAGAACGAACGCUGGUAGCGUGGAUUAGGCAUGCAAGUCGAACGGGAUCGGCCGGAUAGCAAUAUUCGGCCGUGAGAGUGGCGGACUGGGGAGGAACACGUGAGCAACCUGUCCUCGGGACGGGGAAAACCUCUGGAAACGGAGGCUAAUACCGGAUGAGGCGCGCCUGCGGCAUCGCGGGCGCGCCAAAGGGGGCCGCAAGGCUCCCGCCCGUCGAGGGGCUCGCGCACCAUCAGCUAGUUGGCGGGGUGAAGGCCCACCAAGGCUUACGGUUAGCUGGUCUGAGAGGAUGGCCAGCCCCACUGGGACUGAGACACUGCCCAGACUCCUACGGGAGGCUGCAGUCGAGGAUCAUUUGCAAUGGGCGAAAGCCUGACAAUGCGACGCCUGCGUGGAGGAUGAAGGCCUUCGGGUUGUAAACUCCUGUCAUGGGGGAACAGGCGAGGGGACCUAAUACGUCCCUUAGUUGAGUGUACCCCAAGAGGAAGGGACGGCUAACUCUGUGCCAGCCGCCGC